GCGCGGGCUGCUGCCGGGCGAACCACACCUCCAGCAGCUUCUCGGUCCCUUCGAAGAAGUGUGCACCGUUCUCCUUCAUGGCAUGUCAUCGUCUUGUCUUGGUUGGAGCCCCUGCCUUGCUGACCCUUGACUGCAGUGUAGUUUCACCCCAUGACUUGGACCACGUGUUUGAAGUUAAAAGGAUUCUCAGGAAGUCAUCGUUGAAACAGUGAAAAAUAUGUUUCUCCUAAAGAGUGCACAGGUAAGCCCAAAGUUCAGUUUAAGACAAUGUUCCUUUUGUUUUCAUGUAGUCUGUGCUGGCGGUGAAGCAUGUUCAUUCUUUAUUGAAUUGACUGAAGAAAACCAGGCUGCCUCCUCUUCAUACUGGUCGUUUCUGCAGAGACAUCCGAUUUUCAUAUUUCAACAAGGUAUUCAAGACUUGUCAUCUGAAGAACUCCUCUGGUCUGGAUACUCUACAUCCAAACUUGCCCAAGAAAAGGGACUGAAAGACUGAUCCAUUUUUGCUGGAGAGAAAAUCAAAUUAAGUUUCUUAGAAAACUUAUGAAGAAUGGCUACAAAUACCCCUGUUCAGGUGUACAUCCCUACAUCGAUCUGAGAGCUUUUGUCUUCUGCCUUUACAGCAUCAGCACUGGAAUUUGUCUUAUCUGCCCCGAGAUGUCUGCAUUACUGAUGUCUGCAUCUCAGCUAGUUCUCUAGACCUCGAGUCUGUAACUGACAACCCCAAGGUUUAAAGAUAUGACUACAUGAGCAAGUAUGCUGUCAGCCUACAACAGCUGACGCUGCAACAUCAGAGUACAUUUAUACGUAGCCGCUUAGCCUGACACAACCCAGCCUCACUAUGUGUGGUUGUGUUGGGUGGAGCCACAGCAAAAUGUCAGGAGGCAUCCUUGUACCAACAUGUACUGCACUUCUCUGUGCAGAAUUCUUCCAGUGUCAAGAUAUUAGAAUCAGUCUCCCACAAUUCUGUAUUACAUGGUGUUUUCUAAAAUAAAACUUUUUUUUUUAAUUAUUAGAUCUAUAUUUUGCUAUUUUGUCUCUCUGCCAUCAACAUGAGAUCUGCAAAGGCUAAUGUACCUUACAUUUCUGGUUCGCAUAUCUCUGAUAUACGUGGGACUUCAGCAACCCCUUCUAAAAUAGCGAUGAGUGGUGGGAGAAGAAUGACAAAAUUUUGGGGAGGAGAAAAAAAAUAACUUCAGACCACGGAAUAAUAAUGUUUCUGGGCCUGAAAAACACACCGGAGGGUGAAAGUGCAUGUUGCAGAUUUUGGAUGAUGAGUGCUGGAUGAAGAAAUUCAGAAUGAAGAAAGCCACAAAAAUGAAAUUGCAUGCUGAAGAGGUAGUGGCUCUGGCCCUUCAUCAAAGAGACAUCAGAGCGAGAGCCACUCUGACGACAGAUAAGCAAAUACCAAUCACGUUCUAGAAGUUUGCAUUGCUAGCAUGCUUACCAGACAGUGGGCAAUCAAUUGGGCUGGAAAAUCCACAAUAAAGACAGUUGUCAUGCAGGUCUGCAAGACCAUUAAGUAUCUCCUACUUUCCUAAGAUUAUGACUCAGGGUGGUGCCUGGGGAACAGAGCCAUCUGAAGCAGGGGAUGGUGAGAUUGUGGUAGGGAAAUAGACGGGACGCAUCCUGAGUCUGCACCCUCUGAAUACAAAUAGGCAUAUUUGUCCAUGAUGUAAACCCUGGCUGAUCAAGAAAGACGUGCAAUUCUUACAGGAAACAUUUUUCUUUGACUGUUUUGUUUUGUUUUUUAAUUGAAGCAUGGACAGUGAAACUUAGCCUUUCCUUCUCAAAUGCAGAAACCAAAAAGGAGAGAUUCAAGAGAUUCAAUGCUCAUUUCAGCAAAUGCGAGGUGACUUUGGAUGACUUAAAACUGACAAGCAGCACAUCGUAUUAAGACUAGUUGCAGUGAAGAGAGCAUGCUGUUGUAACCGUUGGGUGCUUUUAGUUCUGUUUUUGUGAAGCCUGCUUUAAGCAAUAGGGAAAGCUUGGCAGUAGGUUGUCAGGUUGAGCAGGCACACGUCAGGCUAGUUGUUAUAGCAUUGCUUUGUUAAGGGUAACAUUAGAUCCCUGUAGUAUUGUGUUCUCAGGAUGGCUCUUGCUUGAUAGUCGGUUUUCCCAUUAUUGACCUUAGAAAAAAUAAUCAGUUUCAAAUUAACUACAUUCAUUACUGAAUUCUCCUCAGUACGAGAUUGGAGUCUGUAGGUUGGAGGAGUGUUUGGAAAUAUCCAGGAGCAAAAGAACAGACUUGGGAAGCAAAGGGAGUGCACAGCACCAACGCAGGGUACUGCUGGAGGUCCUGCUCUUGCUGAUGUACACAGGACCAUAAGGCACGUCUCUGGGAAUGGGUCUGCAGAACAAAAUAACUGGUUCUGACAGCUCAGUAUCCAUAUUAUGUGAAUCUCAGGGGUCUUUACUUUUGGAUUGUUUCUAGUCUGCUCCCAAGACUGAAUAUCCAUUAAAAAACACAAUGUGUGCUCCUGCUGUGCACUCUCACAUACAGUUUUAGCCUAUAGAAAUCUAGUUUGUGUACUGUAGGACCACUCUACAGCAUGGACCAAAGCAUGGUACAAAGAAUGGGGACAAUCAAAAGUUUCCUUUCAAAAGCAAGCUCCAAUUCCAAAACCAUGUGCUAUUGUAGCUGCCCUUUCCGUAUGGCUGGGCCAAUCUCCCUGGGGUCCACUUCCCCUCUCUCCCCCUCCCAGGAGCUCAUCGCUUCUGGCCCCAUUCUCCCAGUGAGAAGUCCCCCAUUGCCUUCGGGAAUUCGGGAAGGACGAGUAAAGGGCAAGGCAAACUGGGCUGCCUGGAGGGAGAGACAGGGUUACACGUGUACCUGCGGCAGCUGGGAAUGGGGAGGGAGCUGGGAACCAGAACAGAGUGGCCUGAAGACUACAAAUAAUACAAAUACACAUGUUCCAGCUUUAAAUGCAGUGGUGUUUACAGAGAUUUUUGCUAUUCAGUUAGUAUUGGAAUUCCAAAGCAAGCCUAUUCUUACACUAAGGAAACUGCUGGGUUUUGGUUGUUUUUAACGUGAAUAUAUGAGCACUCGGUGCAGUGGUAAUGCACUCUACAGUUUUACAUUCUCAAGCCAAACUGGUACUAUAGACAACUUCACAGGAAUUUAAUAUUGUAAUUUAAAUAUUCCUAUUGAAAACGGACAAAAAAAAAAUCAAUGACUGAAUACGUAUGUGAUUGGGAAUAGAUCAACACUUUCUGGGAUUGUUAGAUUAAUGGGCUAAAGCUGCUAACAUACAGUGAAGGCAAUUGUGUCUUUUCGUAGCCAGCCAGUGCGUUUUGUUGUCAAAAUGCUGCUGGUUUCCCUGGCUGGGCAGUCAACCUGGGAAAGAGGCUGGCAAUAGCUGCUGUGCACGGGGUGGACGAGGAAAUACAGCUCUGCAGACAAGAAAAUUGAAAAAAUUCCAAGGAGGAAUUUGAGCCUGGGGGGAAGGCUUGUUUCUUUUGCUCCGUGACUCCUAAACUUGUUGUCUGAAGCAGUGAUUGAUAACAGAUGCACCUAUCUGCCUCUCUGUUUUUCUUGAAGGAUGUUGUUUUUCAGCAACGUGAUGUUUUCUGUGAUCUCCCCAGCAUGUUGUCCCUCUGCUGCGUAUGUUCAUCUGUAUCAUCAUUCUCCAUGGAAUAAAGAGGCUCUGGAAGCACGUUAUCCCUUGUUUAACCCGUUUUUCCCCUUAAUCUAUGUCAGUCUUUCAGCAGUUAUGGAAGCCGUGGUUUUCUAGGACCGUCCGUCUAAGAGAUCGUUAAGAUUUGCUCAUUAACAGGAAAAAGAAGGAACUUGGAACUUCUUUAGAUAACUUUCCCUGCAUGAAGGUCUUCCAGAUACAGAUACAGAGGGUCUGUUUCCUUCCAGACAGCUUGCUCUGGGUAUCAGCAUUGCUGCAGGGAUGCUAAAUUGCCAGGGACUGCCUGUGAGCCCAAAGUCCUAUGGAAGGGGAACUGAUAUAGGGGACCUUGAAGUAUGAGCACUGGGGCAGUGGAGGCAAUGUUAAUACGGGAAGCAGUGCUUAUGGCCACCAUAAUGUCCUCAGCAGUGACAAGGGCCCAGGUACCCAAGGGCCUAUCUUCACUGAGUAAAGAUAAGAACAGCUUGGGAACUCAAGUAUGGGAAGGGAUCAGUAAGGAUCCAGGAGGAUAAAAAGGACAUUUUUCUACAGUUAAAAUACAUAUUCUGAGGUAAUCAGAUUUUUUCCCUUGUCUGAAAGGCAAAGAAAAGCCAGCUGCCAUUAAAAGCCUGUCCCUUUGUUAUGCUAAGCCACAGAAAAAAAGAGAAGGCAGUCCUUUUGAGAAGAAAAAGUCAGGUUCAAGCAUUGCUGCAAA